rnacentral:misc_RNA from 1 species
AAGUCGUAACAAGGUUUCCGUAGGUCAAGUUUUGCCUACCACAGCGGCCACCGCCGCUAGUCUCUCGCGAGGCGACACGCUCAAAUUGCGGAAAGGCCCCUGCGGGGAAAAUCCGCAGCUCCUACCCGGAGCUCAGAGGCUCAAUGAGUGUGGGUUCAGCGCUGGCUGAGCUUAAGAUAGAGUCCGUCCCGGCUGGCAACUGCCGGGAGUGAACGGAACCUGCGGAAGGAUCAUUAAAGAAUACACGGCUUCCUAGCCCUAUUCUCACCCUUUGUUUAUUUACUUUGUUGCUUUGGCGGCGCCAGCUUCGGCUGGGCAAGUCCGUCAAGGGCCCAACUCUUGAAUCUCUGCUGUCUGAGUACUAUCUAAUAGUUAAAA